GUGCUCGGUUUGGUAGCACAUGUACUAAAAUUGGAACAAUGCAGAGAUUAGCACGGUGGCCCCUUUGCAAGGAUGACAAAUUUAUGAAACAUUCAUUCUCUUU